UGGAUUAGAUACCCUGGUAGUCCACGCUGUAAACGUUGCAUACUCGAUCUUAGCGAUACACAGUUAGGAUCCAAGCGAAAGCGUUAAGUAUGCCACCUGGGAAGUACGAUCGCAAGAUUGAAACUCAAAGGAAUUGACGGGGGCCCGCACAAGCGGAGGAGCAUGUGGUUUAAUUCGAUGAUACGCGAGGAACCUUACCUGGGCUUGAAUGUGAGUGACCGAUGCCGAAAGGUGUCUUCCCUUCGGGGCACAAAACAAGGUGCUGCACGGCUGUCGUCAGCU
rnacentral:rRNA from 1 species